ACUUAGUGGCAGACGGGUGAGUAACAUGUGGGUAUCUACCCUUUGGCCUGGAAUAACACGAGGAAACUUGUGCUAAUACCGGAUAAGUCUUUACGGAGAAAGCUUUAUGCACCAUUGGAUGAGCCCGCACUUGAUUAGUUUGUUGGUAGGGUAAUGGCCUACCAAGACUAUGAUCAAUAGCUGAUUUGAGAGGAUGAUCAGCCACAUUGGGACUGAGACACGGCCCAAACUCCUACGGGAGGCAGCAGUGGGGAAUCUUGCACAAUGGAGGAAACUCUGAUGCAGCGAUGCCGCGUGAGUGAAGAAGGCCUUUGGGUUGUAAAGCUCUUUCGUCGGGGAAGAAAAUGACUGUACCCGAAUAAGAAGGUCCGGCUAACUUCGUGCCAGCAGCCGCGGUAAUACGAAGGGACCUAGCGUAGUUCGGAAUUACUGGGCUUAAAGAGUUCGUAGGUGGUUGAAAAAGUUGGUGGUGAAAUCCCAGAGCUUAACUCUGGAACUGCCAUCAAAACUUUUCA
rnacentral:rRNA from 1 species